UUUGCCAUUUUGUGUCAGUGACACUCAGUUAUCUGACAAAUUGUCAAAAAAUUGAGUUAAAAUGAAUUUUCGGCCCUUAACUGAAGAAUACGCCAACGUGGCUACAAUUCCUGCUAAUGUUGCCCCUGUACCAGGCUCGUCCAAAGCCAUCGAAAGACUUCUCACAAAACGCCAAAACGAACACAAAUCCACUUUGGAUUUCUUACGACGUGAAUGCCGCAAAAUUAACUUACAAAUCGAGGACGAAAUCAGGAAUGAGGGAAACAGUCUGAAGGAAAGUUUGGGCAAAAUUAAAGCACAACUAGAUCGCGAAACUAGUGUUUUUAAAGACUCGGGGGAGGAAGAGCUCGCUAAUUUGUGCAUUGGAACGUUUGAAACGUCGGUGCAAGAUUUGAAUAAUCGCCGAUUGGCGAUUAUUGACCAGUUUUACGAUAAACUUCAAGAUUUGGAGAAAAAAAGACUGAGGUUUUUCAAACGUGUUUUCAAUGAAGCGUACCGGAAAACUGGAAAAAUCAACCACUUGUUGCCCUAUGACUUGGCCUAUUUUUUUGACCAGGAAAUCACAAAAACUAACGAAAUUUCAUUGAGCAAUUAUGGACACUAUGCUCAAAUACACACUGAUUUGAAACUACAAAUACAGGAAGAAAUUCGUGUGUUUUUUCUAAAUUUGCACGAUCUUAAAGAAAGACACAAAGUGGCUGUUACCAACAUGAGAUGGAAAGAAGUUAUCGUCCCCCGAGAGCACGUAAUCGAGACUACAAAAUUACCAUUUUUGGGCUUUGGGGACCCGAAUUAUGCCGAUGUUACUCUUCCAAUGACUGCGACAGAUUUGGCACAGUGGGAGCAAGGAAUUCAAACGACUUUGGAAAGUUUGGACGCAAAUGCCAAAAAACUGAUCAGUUUGUAUAAAAUGGCAGUGCUUCAAAUUUUUAACCGAUUUUUCGACGAUAUGAAAGUUAUCACAAAUACUCUAACUGAUGAGAGUGAUCAGGCGAGUAAUCAUCUCAACUUGGAAGCUAUUUCUUCUGAGCCUUAUUAUAAAUCCCUGCUUGUGGAUGUUGCAGAGCUCUACACUUGUGAUAUUGCGGAACUUCAAAAUUUAUGGACCAACAUUACGACUUACAUGGAAUCAAACAUUAACAACACUAACAUAUUUCUGAAAAACUCGGCCCACUUGUGGGACAACCACUUCGCACGUACCGACGAAAUAAAAAAAUUGGUUUUAAAAGAAAUGACAAACUUGAUCGAAAAACACCACAAAUUGGCCCAAAAUUUUGAAAAAAAGAUGUACAAUGCUCUGGAUAAGUUACGAGAAGGUUCGUCCACAGCCAAACUCAAUAAACAUCUCAAAGAAGUGAAUAAAUUCUUGGACGCAACUGGAAAUUUGUAUUCGAGCCAAUGCGCAGCUGAGAUUAAAUUGUUGAAGAAAUAUUACGACUUGACUGAGCAAGAAUGUGAAUUGUUGAUAAGCGAACUUGACCGGUUUCUGAGCGAAAACGCUGAUAAGGAGCCGAUACUUGAGAGGAAGAGUUGGCAAAAUAUUAAUGGUCUGCAAGAACAUGAACAAGUUUCGCCGACUAAUUCUGAAGACGAUUUGAUUCCUUAUCAGAUGAAAAGUUGCCAGUAUCAAGUGGACGCUGUCAAUAAUUGGAUGUUUGGCCUUUGGGAAGCGAUUAAGUCGUACAUGGUCACAUGUCGUUCCGAAUUAUUAAAUCAGGCUGAACAAUGGAUGGAAAAAGUCAAAACUAAACUUCGAAAAAGGCUCGAAAUCAGAGAAGCCACUCUCAGACCAAGAUAUUCUCGAGUCAAAACAAUGAUCUAUGACGUUAGGUUGAAAGAACUCGAAAAUCAUCAAACAUUUAUGCAAAAACUUGAAAAUAAGGUACAAAAAUACGUGGCUGACUCUCACCAAUCGGUCGAACUUUCCAAGGAAAAACGAGUCAAAAUUGUCGAAAAUUUCGAAUCAGAGAUGAAAGAAAUUGAAGAAAAAUUAAAAAAUGCAACAAAAUCAUUCCAAGUGGCGGCUUGUAUUGAACAAACGAAGACGCUUUCGGGCGAAGUGAGGCGAAAAUUUGACGAAACGUUUCACGAAAACUACAGUGAAAUUGAACAAAACCGCAAAAACAUCAAUGCAAUGAUUUGCCACUUUGGCACUAGCAUCAAAUUAUUUUCAGAAGGGGGCGAUUUUAGCCGUGACGAAGCCAAAAUCUACAAGAAACGCUUCCAGAAAAUCCAAAAAAGCGUUCCGAAAAAAUUCAAAAAGGUUUAUGCGGAGUUUGAGGCUUCCAAGCCCCCGAUUUUGAACACUUUUCGACGAACUGAGAUUGCGAUUUUGGAUCGAUUGAAUAAGUCUUUGCAAGAGUUCGAACAUAAUGAAAAAACAUGUGACAAGAUUAGGCAACUUCGUGAAAAUAUCCGCAAGUUGGCUUACGAGACGAAAUUUAAAGUUCACCGAAUCGAUGCCUGCAUUGAUUAUUUUAGAGAUAUGUCCAAAAUUGAAAUUUGGAAACGCAAACAUUUUGAUAUUAUGAGAAAUGCGCUGCAGGAGUGUAUUGAAAAAAUCGUCGAAAUUGGGAAUUUUGUGAUUGGCGAUGGUGAGAAUAUUGGGAAGAGUUACAUUUUUCAAUUGAGUCAAUUGAUUGAUUCCUCGUUUGAAGAAAUUGAACAGUCGGCACAGUCCAUUAUCUUAUCACUUAUCAGAUAUGGGCACGUUCGGUCAACGGAGCUGCAUUUGCGUUCAGUAAAUAGGUACAAACAAAUGCGCAAUGCACCGAAACAAGCUCCCUUUCGUGCUGUUUUUUCUGUGUAAUUUUGACCAAGCUUUUUCUCGUAUUAUUUGCAACAAACGCAAAAAUGUCAAUUACAGUCCAGAAAUUAUGGAGCAAACCCUCGGCAAAGACAUGUAUUAUUGCAAAGCACGUUGGGAAAACUGUUGUCCCGAGGGCUGUUGCUCGAUUUUCAGUGACCCUUGGUUCAUUUUUGCCAUUGUUACGGUAAUUGUACUCUCCAUUGUCAUUUUUUGUUACUUUUUGAGAAUGUAUGCGAAACGGCAAAGAGAAGUUCGCAGAAUUAGUCGGAUCAGAAUGCAAGUUGUGGAUCCGCCUUUGCAAGAAAUACCACGUUGUCAAAGAAGUGACAUUGUGAGGGGUUCCCCGAAAGUAGAGCCUGAUAGGAGUGGGCUGUUGCCAACGUAUGACGAAGCAAUAAAAGAAAGUCGCUAACAUAGACAGAAUUUUUUAUACUUAAUUAAGUAUGUUGGUGGUAAUUUCGAAUGUAAAGUUGUAAAUUUUUCAAUAUAGUGACACAGAAAA